GCCAACAGUCAUACCAUGCUUAAAGCACCGGUUCUCGUUCGAUCACCGAAGUUAAAAGGCAUCGGGCGCGGUUAGUACUUGGAUGGGGGACCGCUUGGGAACACCGCGUGCCGUUGGCU